rnacentral:rRNA from 1 species
AACGUAGGAGGCGAGCGUUAUUCGGAUUUACUGGGCGUAAAGCGCGUGCAGGCGGCUAUGUAAGUCGGACGUUAAAUCUCUUGGCUCAACUGAGAGGGGUCGUUCGGAACUGCGUAGCUUGAGGUCGGGAGAGGGAAGUGGAAUUCCCGGUGUAGUGGUGGAAUGCGUAGAUAUCGGGAGGAACACCAGUGGCGAAAGCGGCUUCCUGGCCCGCACCUGACGCUAAGACGCGAAAGCGUGGGGAGCGAACGGG